UGGGGAAUUUUGGACAAUGGGCGCAAGCCUGAUCCAGCUAUUCCGCGUGUGGGAUGAAGGCCCUCGGGUUGUAAAACCCUGUUGUUAGAGAAGAAAGUGCGUGAGAGUAACUGUUCACGUUUCGACGGUAUCUAACCAGAAAGCCACGGCUAACUACGUGCCAGCAGCCGCGGUAAUACGUAGGUGGCAAGCGUUAUCCGGAUUUAUUGGGCGUAAAGGGAACGCAGGCGGUCUUUUAAGUCUGAUGUGAAAGCCUUCGGCUUAACCGGAGUAGUGCAUUGGAAACUGGGAGACUUGAGUGCAGAAGAGGAGAGUGGAACUCCAUGUGUAGCGGUGAAAUGCGUAGAUAUAUGGAAGAACACCAGUGGCGAAAGCGGCUCUCUGGUCUGUAACUGACGCUGAGGUUCGAAAGCGUGGGGUAGCAAACAGGAUUAGAUACC
rnacentral:rRNA from 1 species